UCUGGCGUCAGUAGCGCGGUGGUCCCACCUGACCCCAUGCCGAACUCAGAAGUGAAACGCCGUAGCGCCGAUGGUAGUGUGGGGUCUCCCCAUGCGAGAGUAGGGAACUGCCAGAC
rnacentral:rRNA from 1 species